UACAGAGGUCUCAAGCGUUGCUCGGAUUCAUUGGGCGUAAAGGGUGCGUAGGCGGCGCCGUAAGUCGGGUGUGAAAUUUCGGAGCUUAACUCCGAAACUGCAUUCGAUACUGCGGUGCUUGAGGACUGGAGAGGAGACUGGAAUUCAUGGUGUAGCAGUGAAAUGCGUAGAGAUCAUGAGGAAGACCAGUGGCGAAGGCGGGUCUCUGGACAGUUCCUGACACUGAGACACGAAGGCCAGGGGAGCAAACGGG
rnacentral:rRNA from 1 species